GGUGUACAGAUACAAUCUGUA
rnacentral:siRNA from 1 species